UUGAUUGAAUUGAACAGUUCAAAAUUGGGAUUGUUUUUGAAUCCCAGUGUCGUCGGCGAGCGUUUGGUCUCAGUGUAAAGAAAUCGAGAAAUUCGAAGUGUGGCAUCAUGGAAUUUGUCGUUUUUGAUUCCCUGGGAAACGUAGAAAAACCCUAAUCCCAGUGUCAUGCUUAAACAAAGUUCGAUAUCUCUUUUUUUUUGUUAGCUAUAUAUACGAACUUAAGUCUCACUUUGGAUUUGCUCCACAGAUCGUGGCAUUGGCUAAUUUGUUGCCGGUUGAUGAUUCGGUCGAUGAAUUUGGACAGCUAUAGCCUAUAUGUAUCAAACUUGUAGGCCACCAGAUAAUUUAGUGGGGCUAUGCAGAAAGAAUGUAUGAUUGUUCAGAAGAAGAAUCCGUGGGUCUUCAAGGCAUCAGAAACUUAGCUACCAAAUGAAUCCCAGAUGAUGAAGUGGAAGAUAUGUUUGUCUUGUUAAGUGAAAUUGAAGAGACAGAUACCCUUCCAUCACUGCUGUAUUGUCUGGUGCGAUUGCAUCAGACUACCAACGGCAACGGCUGCCCGGUGGAGAGUUUUUGUUCAAGGUUAGGCCUUGUUUCUUUUGGCAUUUCUGUGGAAACAAGAUCAGACAUUGCUUCUUCAUGAAAUGGUCGCGGCAAUAGGGUUAGUAGAUCCCUCAAAGCAUCUAGGGAAAGACUUAGCCUUCAUGGAACCAUAUCUGAUGUGGCUUGAUCUUAUUGGCCAUGUGACUUGUACUUUAUAGGAUAAAGGAUAAAAAAAUUAAUGGUCAUUUGAUUAUCUUUUCUUUUCA